UAGGGAAUAUUGGUCAAUGGAUGGAAGUCUGAACCAGCCAUGCCGCGUGCAGGAAGAAGGCCUUCUGGGUUGUAAACUGCUUUUGCCAGGGGCUAAAAGGCCCAUGCGUGGGAAAUUGAAAGUACCUGGUGAAUAAGCCACGGCUAACUACGUGCCAGCAGCCGCGGUAAUACGUAGGUGGCAAGCGUUGUCCGGAUUUAUUGGGUUUAAAGGGUGCGUAGGCGGCUUAUUAAGUCAGUGGUGAAAUAUCGCAGCUUAACUGUGAGGGUGCCAUUGAUACUGAUGAGCUUGAGUACAGAUGAGGUAGGCGGAAUUGACGGUGUAGCGGUGAAAUGCAUAGAUAUCGUCAAGAACACCUAUAGCGAAGGCAGCUUACUAAGCUGUAACUGACGCUGAGGCACGAAAGUGUGGGGAUCAAACAGGAUUAGAUACCCUGGUAGUCCACACUGUAAACGUU
rnacentral:rRNA from 1 species